UAAUCGAGAGAGGAAGCGGGGGAGGGGGCUGUGGCAAGUAGAGAGAGAGACAAAGCGGAUGCGAAAUCUCAGCCACGAGCAGCUGCAACCUUCGGGAAUCGCGAGUAAAACAAGUUUUCCUGGGUAGCUGUGUCUGCGUCUUGAGCAGAGUCCGGUGCUGAGGGACCUUUCUGGGGUGGGUGGGGACAGCGCGGCCCCCCAGGUGUGCUCUCUGCGUUGCGGGAGCCGACGUGAGGCUCGGCGAAGAGACAACGGGCGAGACGGGUGUUAGUGGUUCGCGCCCUGGGCGCACACAGCCUGCCCGCUGGGCGAGAUACCUGGAAAGAGGACAGUGGCGAGGUUGUGUUAGGUAGGAGUUCAGCAGAGAAAUGGUUCAGCCUAUACACGUUUGAAGCGCCGCGUGCCACGAAGAGGAAACGUGAUCAGAAAAUCUCGAACGGCAAUCACUAUUUAUGAAACCCAUUUUUGAUCUUUGUACCAAGGGCUUAUCUUUCCACGGGGAGCUGAAAUGCCUGUUUUUAUUGGCCAUUUGUAAUAAAGUAUAUGAAUGAACUGUAGAGAUUACCGGUCCAGCCCCCCGCCCUUUUUUUUACGGAUUGGGAAUCUGAGGCCCAGGGAGAUCUGAAGUGAACUGUCCAGCUCGAGGGCACACUGCUACUUGCAAUGGCUAGAGUGGAGAUCCUCACUUCCCAGCUUUCUUUUAAAUAUUAGACGCAGAAAUGGUUUAACAGGCAGAGGAGGCUCCCCCCGGCGCGCCCAGAAUCCAGAGACUAGAAAUCAAGGCCCUCUAGGUCCUUUAACCCCACUUUCCUUUAACCACGGUCCCUCCAGGUAUUCGCGCUGAGAAAUUUCGCUCCUUGCAAACAAAGGAAGACAGUGCCCUCU